AUUGCUUGCAUAAAUUUUUGCCAUUUCAUGUGUUUGUGUUAAUUUCUUGAUGUGAAGCUUCAGUGUUGUUUACCAGAAAAUACAGUUUAUGAACAGGAAACAAGACAGUGGUGCAUUUACUCACCAAGUCGUUGCAUUUACUAUAUGUGACAUUUCGGAAAAUAUUUUUGAAAUGAAACAAAAUCAUCUAAUUUUAAUAAUAAAAGCAUUCCAGACCAGUUUAAGCUGCCAUUUUUUUUUUAUUUAUACACUGUUUUCCUUUUUAUUAGAUAGUAAACAGUUGGCCAUCAUAAUAUUAACCAUAGAUUGUUCACAUAAAAGGUAACAGUGGGCAGUUAGAUGAAGGAAAAGGUUGAAUAGGUCUUAGACAUCUAAAAUUCAGGAAAUAUUAAAUCCAGAAUUAAAUAUAAAUACUCUAUGAUAGAAACUCAGCACACUUUCAUCAUGGCAACUACUUAUCAAUCUGGUUGAUUGAGUACUGUUGUUGCAAAAAUCAUUGGGGAUGGCUGUCACAAGUAUGGAUUUUCAUCAUAAAUAAUCAUUGUUAUAAAGCUGGAUUGUCAUAGUCAGGACUCUCUUAACUGAAAAAAUAUCACAAUCACAUUAUAAAAAUAUAGAAUUGUUUUUCAUAUUUGAAUUUCAAAG
rnacentral:lncRNA from 1 species